rnacentral:lncRNA from 1 species
CAAUAUCUGUCCAUCUUUCUGGAGAGUAAUCUGUUUCGUCUAGAGAAUUUAAUCCCCCGGCUAAAAUGUGUGGCUUAUCAGAGGAUUGGAUUAUUGCAUUAAUCUGCUUCAUACGCCAAUUCUCAUCCAAGUGAUCAAGGUGGGUGCAGUAGAAAUUGAAUUCUCCAACUCGAGGAACAUCAAUUGUGGCCUUCAGAAAGUGAUCAAGGUGAGUGCAGUAGAAAUUGAAUUCUCCAACUCGAGGAACAUCAAUUGUGGCCUUCAGAACAUUUCUGCAUUCACAUAUAUCUUUGUAAAAUAAAUCCUUAAGUGCAUUUUGAUUACCAUAAUUGCAUUUUACUGUAUAAAUAUCAUUCUUAGAUUAGCCCAACAACCCAUACAUAACAAUAUGUUACCAUCUGUGGAACACCAAAAUGAAACUCAACUACUUGUAAAAAACGAGCUAGUAACUUGAUAUCCAUACUGCGUACAUAUGACUUUACCAGAGGUUCAACACCAGAUAACUGAGCUUAGCAAGUUAUAACUGAUAAAAAGCUGGGAAUUUUUUGUCACUUCUUAUAAAGAUUAUACUUCAUACGUAUUAAAUGAUAAAUUCUAAGGAUGCGCUUCAUCAGUCAGGCUAAAACUUUUAUAGUCCCUGAAAAUUUGAAGUAAAUGAUAAAUUCUUUCUGAAAUUUAUUAAUUUAUUUAUUUUUACAGCUGGCAUAAGUUUGUCAUGAAAUAGAAAAUACACUAAGGUAAAACAUGAAUCACAUAGAUGAAGGAUGGGAAAGUCUGGAAGUCUAGUAUCAGAGUUGUAGGAUAGGGGCUCUUAGAGUUUUUUGUACUCCUCACCCGUGGUUGGGUGAGGCUUGCCAGGGCUAUCCAUAGAUGAUUUGUGUUUUGGCUUGUGUCUCUCUUAUGGUAGUUAUUCAUGGUAGUUACUGUAUUAUAUUAUUGCAUGUUAUUUUAUUUAUGUUUCGUAUGUUUAGAUAAUUAUUUACGCUAUUUCUGCUGGAGUUACUAAUGCUCUUUUGUUUUUUUCUUUCCUUCACUGAGCCUAGGGUCGAUUGGAAACAGCCUCUCUGCCCUUUCGGGUAGGGGUAAGGCUCGUCUACAUAUUACCCUCCCCAGACCCCAUUUUGUGGGACUAUACUGGAUAGUUAUUGUUGU